GAUGAACGCUAGUUACAGGCUUAACACAUGCCAAGUCGAGGGGAAACGAUAUUGGAAGCUUGCUUCCGAUAGGCGUCGACCGGCGCACGGGUGAGUAACGCGUAUCCAACCUGCCCACCACUUGGGGAUAACCUUGCGAAAGUAAGACUAAUACCCGAUGAUAUCCCUAGAAGACAUCUGAAAGGGAUUAAAGAUUUAUCGGUGAUGGAUGGGGAUGCGUCUGAUUAGCUUGUUGGCGGGGUAACGGCCCACCAAGGCAACGAUCAGUAGGGGUUCUGAGAGGAAGGUCCCCCACAUUGGAACUGAGACACGGUCCAAACUCCUACGGGAGGCAGCAGUGAGGAAUAUUGGUCAAUGGGCGAGAGCCUGAACCAGCCAAGUAGCGUGCAGGAUGACGGCCCUAUGGGUUGUAAACUGCUUUUAUAAGGGAAUAAAGUGAGUCUUGUGAGACUUUUUGCAUGUACCUUAUGAA
rnacentral:rRNA from 1 species